rnacentral:misc_RNA from 1 species
AACGCACAUUGCGCCUUCUGGUAUUCCGGUAGGCAUGUCUGUUUGAGCGUCAGCAAACACCCUCAGCUGAGUAUUUUUUGUACUCAUGCUGGUCUUGGGCUUGGAAGCUGGGUUUAACCCCCCUGCGCCUGCCCUAAACUUGCUGCACGACCGCUGGCUUCGGCUGGGUCAAUGGAGUGGUGUCACAAUCUUCCAGAAGACUUUCAACUGUAGCGCGGUGGCGUUAAACCUGCUGUCCGAAAGGACCGAAGUUUUGACCUCAGAUCAGAUAAGGAUACCCGCUGAACUUAA